rnacentral:rRNA from 16 species
GGAUGCGAUCAUACCAGCAAUAAAGCACCGGAUCCCAUCACAACUCCGAAGUUAAGCGUGCUUGGGCGAGAGUAGUACUAGGAUGGGUGACCUCCUAUGGGUGACCUCCUGGGAAGUCCUCGUGUUGCAUUUC